GCCUAUUUUGUUUAUUCUUCAAUAGAUAGUACACAAGGAAGACAGUAUGUCUUUUGUUACUUAUAGGGGAUACAGUUGGAUAUAAGGAAACAUUUUAAUUUUAUAAAUAUGACAUUUAUCAAAUACGAAGUAUAAACGAAACCGAGCUUCAUAUUUUAACUGUCUAAAUGUCUGUCAAGGGUUUAAUGCUUUUUACAUAAAGUGUCAUCUCGUUCUAAAAAAUAUAAAACAUUGUUUUGUCAGAAUAUUUGCACGUCUGUGAGUAAUAUUUAGCCAUAAAUACUAAUUUGUUUACCUGUUAUUCAUUCUGUCGCUAGAUGAUGACGAAAACGGAAGUUACGCUAGUAAACACUAGAGCCACUCAAAACUCUUUUUUUGUGUGUGUAAUGGAUGUAAGCAGUUUCAGUUCGCGGCUGCUGCACAGCUAUUCAAAGAACACCUAGCUGAUGUGUUGCGUGAAAUCGAGCUGAUCAUAUAGGAAACACGGAUAUUGUUUCCUUCUGUUCUUCAAGAAAUUUUCAUUCAGUUUCAGACCAUGGGUCGGCUGGAUGAUGCAGCAAAAUACAAAGUCGUGGAGCUUCGGAAGGCCGGACUCAGUUUCCGUAAGAUCAAAGCUGUGCUGGAGCUGGAGAACAUCAAAGUCUCGGCACAGGCCAUCUACCUCUACCUGAGGGAGUUCCAGGGUAGACCGCCAGGGAGGGUCAGACCUGCAGAAGUUGGAGGCAGCUCUGUCGUAGCUCAGGUCGCACCUAGAUCGGGAGCAUUGCGUGAAAGCUGGAGCAAUAACCAUCUCCAAAAUCUAAUACGGGAGUCACCUCAUCAUUCAGGAUUUGCGACUGCUUCGGGUUUCCCCAAGCAGUCGUCCACAAAUUCCGAAACAAGUGGAAAUGCGUCGAGUUCUGGGGAGACCAGCGGAGGCAGCCGACUAGAGCAGCAGCACGGGGCAAAUAAAGAAGAGAACGACAUUCAGAUUGUAAGUGUCACUUCUCUUGCACAGCAAGAACAAAAAAGAGUUCCCCAUACUGGAAAUGCAGUAGAAGCUUGUGCUUCCUCCACUUCAACAGCUUCAAAUGUAUUGAGGAGAAGAGUCACACCCUCACCCGCAACAAGUUCAAUACUGGCAGCUCGAAGGAGACUUUUGGAUAAAGCACUGUCACACAAAACAAAGGUGUUAUCGUUGUUGAGAAAAGAUCCCUUAAGUUUACAAAGUUCUGAUCCGAAGGGUGCUCUCUCGCAGUUGCCCGAAACCUACGAUUUGACCUCAGAAAAGACUGUUAUUGACGGUCAGCUCAGAGGAGAAGGAUCCUCCCGAAGCUUCCCUACACAAAGACCAGGACUGAGUCUCCGUUCCUUCCAGCUCCCUCCCCGUGUUGGGAUUCGUCUUCCCAACCGCCCACAACCCCCUCUGACGUCCUCAGCUUCAAGGCCCUCUCUCGCUCAUUUACAAACUCCUGGAAGCCAGGCGCCAACUUGCAGAGAAGGAAAUCCAAGCCCACACCAGGCGGUCCAAGACUCCGGAAGCAGGAGCGGUUUGCAGGACCAGAUUCAGGUUUUAGGCACUGAGGUGCGCAGUUUGGGUCUGGCGGUUAAAAUGCUGGUAGAGCAGCAGUGCCGGCUGGAAAGAGAGCAACUGCAGCAGACGCAGAUUCAAAAGCAGAUACUCGGCACUCUUCAGAGCUUCGCCUCCAAAAUUGGACAUUGCAGCAGCGGUCGACAGCAGCUCAGCAAAACCCCAUCACCCUCCUCUUUGCCAGCAGCCUCUGGUCCUUCCUCCUUCAGUCAAGACUCCUUCAGUUUCAGUCAAGGAACCUACAAUCAGUGCAGCCAAACGCAGCCGAAUUAUAAAUCCUUAGAAAGCCUGCAAAAUGUGGAGGCUAUGAGGCUGCCAGCGCUCAGCCCGACUAACAUGAAUGGGUUUCCGUCGUGUAGCAAUGCAGAGAACCAACCACUUUCUCACAGUACCCCUCAAAGCCAACCCUACCCCACUGCUUACACCCCCCAGAGCAGUCAAACACUCGUCUCACCUUACUCAGAGUCAUUCAUUUCCUCCUAUAGCAAGUCACAUACUCAGAGUUUUAAAACACCAGAGAGUAAAACAUCUGAGUUUACAAGCAGUUGUUCAAGGAUUUUUCAAGACUGUGUCUUGUCCCCUCAGCAAGGGAUGAACUCCAGUCUGUCUGCGCAGGAUCAGCAGAUCAACAGUAUCAAAGUGGAAGGACCUUAGAGAGAUGGGUUUUUUUUUAUUUGUUGGAGAGCCAGGAGGUUCUGGAUGAGCACUGUGACUGCAACACUGCUUUCCCUGAAAUGUUUGUACGUAGUAUAAUAAUAUAAUAAUUAAUGUAGCAUUUUUAAAAAUCGUUUUCAUUUAUAAUUUUACAAAACAACAAUGCUUCCUCAUUAUUGAAGUUUUGUCUUUACAAUAGGAAAAGAUCAGUGAUUGAAAGAAAACUUUUGUAAAAAAAAGAACUGUAAAUUGUUGUAUCUGUUUGCCUUGAAGUACUAAGACUUGCAACAGGAACUAUACAUUUUCAAUCUUGUAUUAUGGGUGAUUAAAAUAAAAAAAUGAUCA
rnacentral:lncRNA from 1 species